ACGGAGGGUGCAAGCGUUAUCCGGAUUCAUUGGGUUUAAAGGGUGCGCAGGUGGGCUUGUAAGUCAGUGGUGAAAUCUUGCCGCUUAACGGUAAAAUUGCCAUUGAUACUGCAAGUCUUGAGUAUGGUUGAGGUAGGUGGAAUGUGUUGUGUAGCGGUGAAAUGCAUAGAUAUGACACAGAACGCCGAUUGCGAAGGCAACUUACUAAGCCAUUACUGACGCUGAGGCACGAAAGCGUGGGGAGCGAACAGG
rnacentral:rRNA from 1 species